rnacentral:misc_RNA from 1 species
GAUGAAGAACAUAGUGAAAUGCGAUAAGUAAUGUGAAUUGCAGAAUUCAGUGAAUCAUCGAAUCUUUGAACGCACAUUGCGCCCCCUGGUAUUCCGGGGGGCAUGCCUGUUCGAGCGUCAUUUCACCACUCAAGCCUCGCUUGGUAUUGGGCAACGCGGUCCGCCGCGUGCCUCAAAUCGACCGGCUGGGUCUUCUGUCCCCUAAGCGUUGUGGAAACUAUUCGCUAAAGGGUGCUCGGGAGGCUACGCCGUAAAACAAACCCAUUUCCAAGGUUGACCUCGGAUCAGGUAGGGAUACCCGCUGAACUUAAGCAUAUCAAUAAGCGGAGGA